rnacentral:rRNA from 1 species
UGAAGUCGUCGUGCAAUACAUGCAUGGCGAGCGUACAGUUGGUAGCUUGCUCCCUGUGGUUAGCGGCGGUCGGGUGAGUAACACGUGGGUAACCUGCCUGUAAGACUGGGAUAACUCCGGGAAACCGGGGCUAAUACCGGAUGGUUGUUUGAACCGCAUGGUUCAAACAUAAAAGGUGGCUUCGGCUACCACUUACAGAUGGACCCGCGGCGCAUUAGCUAGUUGGUGAGGUAACGGCUCACCAAGGCAACGAUGCGUAGCCGACCUGAGAGGGUGAUCGGCCACACUGGGACUGAGACACGGCCCAGACUCCUACGGGAGGCAGCAGUAGGGAAUCUUCCGCAAUGGACGAAAGUCUGACGGAGCAACGCCGCGUGAGUGAUGAAGGUUUUCGGAUCGUAAAGCUCUGUUGUUAGGGAAGAACAAGUACCGUUCGAAUAGGGCGGUACCUUGACGGUACCUAACCAGAAAGCCACGGCUAACUACGUGCCAGCAGCCGCGGUAAUACGUAGGUGGCAAGCGUUGUCCGGAAUUAUUGGGCGUAAAGGGCUCGCAGGCGGUUUCUUAAGUCUGAUGUGAAAGCCCCCGGCUCAACCGGGGAGGGUCAUUGGAAACUGGGGAACUUGAGUGCAGAAGAGGAGAGUGGAAUUCCACGUGUAGCGGUGAAAUGCGUAGAGA